ACAGCUAUUUGUACAGUUGUAGCUGAUCUGUACUGUCUGAUCGAUUUGUAUAUAUCUUUGCAUGCGCAGGCCGGCUCGCUGGUGAAGCUGGGUGCGUGGGGCGGCGACCACGGCGGGAAGGAGUACGACGUGACGGUGGCGCCGCAGCGGCUGGAGGGCUUCUGGCUCCGCUACGGCAAGGUCAUCGACUGCAUCUCUUCUCCUACCUCGACAAGGACAAGAACCUCCACACCAUCGGCCCCUGGGGCGGCCAAGGCGGCCUCUCCGAGUAGACCAGUAUCUGCAGAUCCGUUUUAAAAUAUAGCAACCUUAACUCGAUUAACGUGACGCAGAUCACGUUCGAGCCAUCGGAGUACGUGAAGGAGGUGCACGGCUCGUGGGGCCCAUCGGGGACUACACCCACGUCGUCACCUCGCUCAAGCUCGUCACCAGCCAACGCACCAUCGGGCCGUUCGGCAACGGCGCCGGCACGCCCUUCGCCGUCCCCGUCCUCAACAACGGCAGCGUCGUCGGCUUCUUCGCCCGCGCGGGGCCCUACCUCGAGUCCAUCGGCAUCUACGUCCAUCCAUUUUGAGUUCUGAUCCAGGACGAACACGCAGCAUCAUAUCCAUCUUUCGAUUCGAUUUCCAAAUUCCAAUCGAUCGGUCCGCGGCAUCCCAAUUUCAGUAGCUGUGGAUCUGUGGUUUUCCUUUUUAAUUUAUAUUAUUGCUUUCGAUUAUGAUUCAUGGAAGGGACUUCUUCGAUCGAUUGUAUUCUUUUGCCGUCUAUUAAUUUGUCAUCUGAAAUGCAAGAAUAUCGAUAAUUAAGGGAAUUGGGGUGCAUUGCAAGUAAGUUUUCCAAGUUUACCCCUACAAGUAAUCACAUAUUUAGGCACACUAUAUAAUAUUCUAAGGGUAGGUUAGAAACGUACAGCGUACCAGUUCUAAUAUUUGAAGCCUAUUUUUCUUGUUAGCACUAUUUUACUUACACUAUUACAGUAAGUGUCGAAUAUAUAAUUUAUAAGUUA